AACAAGAAAGCGCAUCACGACGGGACGGGGCGAGGCGCAAAGGAAGGCAGGCAGGCAGGGAGGGUUGAUCUGGUGAUGUGAUUUCGUUUUAUGCCAUUGUACUUUUUUGACGAUAAUUUAGAGACACUAUUCUUUGUCAACUUUCUUUCGCUUUCAAGCUUAUACUUUGUUACAGUUGACUAUACUAAGGCUUUCUACUAAUUACGUUUAGCGUGAAGAAGAUUUAACGAAAGCUAUUUUUAUACGUUAAAAGUGCUUUUUUGACGAAAUGAUUGGCUAGACUUUUUCUAAUAGGAAAGAAAAACUAUGAAAUAAGCAAUUCUAUGUAAUAGAAUGGUAUGCUGAUUUUACUAUUAGCUAAUGUUCAACCAGCUGAAUAAUAGCUUAAACAAAGCACAGCUAUGACCGUGUUAUCCUAUUUUAUUAAGCUAGUUUUAAAUCUAUUCUUCUUUCAAUGAGAUUUUUAUGAAGUGCCUUGACUUAAGAAGCUUUUUUUCGAUACUUGCUUUCUCAUUCUUAAUGUCAGCAACGCCUUUACAAAAUGGCGGUCGCGACGGCAAGCAGAUGCAUGAUAGCGAGGGCGAACCAUAGACUGUAUAAAAACGGGCGAUCAAGUCUACAACAAGCCUACAGUAGAUUUUAUAUAUAUAUAUAUAUUUAUAUAUUAAAAAAAAGCUUAUGUUUCUUUUGUCUGCAAACCAUAACAUAACAAUCAGUAACCGCUUACUGCUAAGAUAAACACCAGACAGUCAGAAAAUUAGUCUUUUUAUUUCUUUUUGAAGCCUUUGGAGAAGCCCGUCUCGUUGCUUUUAUUAGGAAGAAACUAUUGAACAUCAAGUGAGUUUAUACUUGGGAAGAAAUGGACGAUGCUUAGUCGCAGCUUAUUUGUUUCUGAAGAUUUUUGUUUUUUACGUAAAACCAAUAUUUCGACCACCAAUUCAUAAGUCUAAACCAUUAUAAUCAGCUACUAUGACCACUUCUGCGUGCUUGAACGACCCACCUAAGUUACAUGAUCGCUUUUAUGGACUGAGUCACAUGUUGCGUAACAGCUGUGAAAUGGGAGCUUAGCUUGUUUUUCAUGAUCCUAAAAUAUCAGCAAAAGACUGAAGUACGGCGUAAAGGAGAAAUGGACUGAGUUUAAUUUAUCCAGUAACGACCUAGCGCUUAGAUGACAACGGAUGGAAGAAAAGAUCCACAGCAGAGGCCAGGACCAGGGAGAAUCAGGACAAGAUGGCGAGCCAGGCAGGACCAGAGGGGAACCGGGGAGGAUCAGAGGGCACAGAGCAGGGCGAAGAUCAGCAACAGCAGCAGUAUCCAGAUGGGGGAGCCAGAUCCACAAGGCAGAUUAGCGUCAGAACAACUUUCGCCACCAGAGGGAGCUCAGCUGGUCUAGAUCAGAGCAAGCCAAAGAUGAAUGUCCCAACAACAGCAGCAGAGAAAGAAAGAGGGCUCACAAGCAGAGAGUAUCAGGGGUCUUCGCCAUAGCAAAGUCAUGGAGAGGGCAUUUGGUUUGUAUGGGUAGAGGUAUCCGGUGUAAUAUUGAAGUCAUUUCAGUAGUUUGCAUUCCAGAACACUUUUGCUCGCGAAGUUCUGUUCUUUCCUUUUCAGGCGUGGUGAGUGACACUGUUUGAAAUUCCGAUGUGUCAUCUUUCCUGUUGUUGGCCAAGUCUGAUGAAUGGCGUUAGUGUGCUGUGGAGAUGACCAUCCUUAAUCGACCACGCCUCCGCUACGUUUUGGCUAUAGGCCCGUGGAAGAGUCGUCCCUUUAUCCGCUUAAAUCCAUUAGGUCUGUCCUGAGAAGCAAUCUACAUGCGAAGGGUUUUUCGGAGUUGAAGUUCCCCUGCGUCCCUACACGGCACAACUACCUCUACUGCCACCGCCGCUGCGUCAGUCCGACAUAUGAUGCCAGGGCAGCUGCGUAUUGCCUGCCGGUAAAAAUUUUGACGAGUUCAUGCAUGAAUUUUAAUGAUAUAUUAAAGCAACAGCGCUUUUAUUGAUAAAAAAA